rnacentral:rRNA from 1 species
AUGCACACAUGCUCUCCGGUUCAUAUUUUCGAAAAAGCCAAACUAGAGGAUUAUGUUGAUGAGUUCUUCUUAGUGGCAAGAUUCCAAGCAGCAUAUGAGGGAAUUCUCAUGCCAAUUAGGGGCAGGUCCCAAUGGCCCAAGGUAAAUCCUGGUUUUGAUAUGAUCCCUCCCAAACUUACUAAGAGUGCUGGAUGUCCAAGAACUAGGAGGAUAAAAAAUUACACUGAAGGUGGAACCGGCAGAAAACACAAAUGCAAAAGGUGUGGAGCAUUAGGCCAUCUUCAAAAGACUUGCAAGGAGCCAGAGAUGGAAAGUGACGCGGACCGAGAUGCUACUCCUCCUCCAUGGAAAAAAUCAAAGGCUCAAGCAAGCAUUGCAACUACUUCUCCUAAGACACCAACUAAGCAAGGUACUCAACUUGAUACUCCUACAAGUCCAAUGACCAGGCAGAGGACAACAGCUAUUGCAAUCGCUUCUACACCUCCGUGUGCGUCUACAAGGAGCAAAACUGCUGCUCCUAGCCCUCUAUGGCGAGUUUAG